rnacentral:lncRNA from 1 species
CAUGCUUUUUUUUUGCUUUUUUUUUUUUUAGGUUCAGAGGUUUGAAGAGGGUUCAGAAGUAACUGCUGGGAAGAGGGCAAGUUCUGGUACUCUCUUCCAUUUAUCGGCAACCUAAUCGGAUGGGCUGCGCAGAGGUCAUGGAGUCUGGAAUUAAUUAAUCCAGGAAUCCCAGCCAACUAGAAAACACGAUCACGAUAUACCAAACAAAAUCUGGCUUUUUGCUGACAUUACUCAUCCGCAUGGGGAGCUACAGUGCUUCAGUUCUGAAAGACGAAUCCUGCAAGACAGAUUGCUUUGUCCAGACCUCACGAAUCCUAUGAUAACAAUUGAAAUAUUGGAAGUAACUGUACUAAAUUCAGUAGCUCAUCAGUGAUGUGUUCAUGGGAGCCUUGCACGGAUUCACU